rnacentral:lncRNA from 1 species
UGGGGUCUUCAUAGGGCAGAUCUCCACCAUGUCAUGCAGAGAUGCAGUGCUGUCUUCUGAUCAGGAAUUAUGCUCUUCCACGGCACUCUGGCUCAUUCCACAGUCAAUAAUGUUAAAUGGAGUGAAAAUGUAGGUCAGUGGAGCUAACUUGGAAGUCUCCAGGACAACUCUUCCUCCAAAUCCAUUGGAAAACAUGAAGCAACAGGCAGAAAUGCCAAGGAUUUGACUGCUAAAUACCAGAUAAGUAAGCUGCUCCCCCAAAAAGUCUUCAGCAUACUAAGCAAGUCGUUUACUGGAAGAAAUUUAAACCUUUUUUAAAGC